rnacentral:rRNA from 1 species
GACGAACGCUGGCGGCGUGCCUAAUACAUGCAAGUAGAACGCUGAAGCUUGGUGCUUGCACCGAGCGGAUGAGUUGCGAACGGGUGAGUAACGCGUAGGUAACCUGCCUGGUAGCGGGGGAUAACUAUUGGAAACGAUAGCUAAUACCGCAUAAGAGUAGAUGUUGCAUGACAUUUGCUUAAAAGGUGCAAUUGCAUCACUACCAGAUGGACCUGCGUUGUAUUAGCUAGUUGGUGAGGUAACGGCUCACCAAGGCAACGAUACAUAGCCGACCUGAGAGGGUGAUCGGCCACACUGGGACUGAGACACGGCCCAGAAUCCUACGGGAGGCAGCAGUAGGGAAUCUUCGGCAAUGGACGGAAGUCUGACCGAGCAACGCCGCGUGAGUGAAGAAGGUUUUCGGAUCGUAAAGCUCUGUUGUAAGAGAAGAACGAGUGUGAGAGUGGAAAGUUCACACUGUGACGGUAUCUUACCAGAAAGGGACGGCUAACUUCGUG